GACGAACGCUGGCGGCGUGCUUAACACAUGCAAGUCGAACGGAAAGGCCCUGCUUGUGUGGGGUGCUCGAGUGGCGAACGGGUGAGUAACACGUGAGUAACCUGCCCUUGACUUGGGGAUAACUUCAGGAAACGGGGGCUAAUACCGGAUAGGAGCUCCUGCUGCAUGGAGGGGGUUGGAAAGUUUCGGCGGUUGGGGAUGGACUCGCGGCUUAGCAGCUUGUUGGGGGGGUAGUGGCUUACCAAGGCUUUGACGGGUAGCCGGCCUGAGAGGGUGACCGGCCACAUUGGGCCUGAGAUACGGCCCAGACUCCUACGGGAGGCAGCAGUGGGGAGUAUUGCACAAUGGGCGGAAGCCUGAUGCAGCAACGCCGCGUGCGGGAUGACGGCCUUCGGGUUGUAAACCGCUUUCGCCUGUGACGAAGCGUGAGUGACGGUACUGGGUAAAGAAGCACCGGCUAACUACGUG
rnacentral:rRNA from 1 species